CUUCUCUGAUCUCAUCAUAUAGUUCUUCAAGAAGAAGGAAAAAACAAAUAUAAAACCAUGUCUUCCUUUUUUUCCUUUCUUGCGACUUCGUGCCUUACUAGCAGUUGAAGCUGCCAGCAUGAUCUGAGCUUUCUCUCUCGAUCCUCUUCUUUCUUCUCUUUCUUUCUCCCUUCGCUCGAGAAAGAUUAGAUCAUGUGGUAGCUUCACCUGUUCAUGAGAGCACGCUAGAUAAACCAAGAGAUAUGAGAUAUAAUUCGUUAUAUUUCAUCUUAAGUUUUUGAGAUCUCUCCUCGAGUCUUGGGGAAGUAAGCUUUUAUAUCCCUUUCAUGCACUGUUCCAUAUGUAUAUGUAUAUAAGUAUAUCAUAGAUUCUUUUUAAUUUUAUGCUUAGGUUAAUUGCACCUAAGAUUAUAUAGUACUAAUUACUAGGAGAUAAAAUGUGUUUUUUUUUUUCAUUUCUUUGAUCGAUGUUUCUUAUCUUGUUCUGUUUGUUAAUUAGUAGAUCUAACUAGAGUCAAGUCGUACUUAAUUUGUUUGUAUAAAUAAAUUUAUUAUCUAAAUAAAUAAUUAAUGAUCAAUUUGUUUGUCCUAAUUAA